UUGUGGAAGUGUCAAAACAAAAUAUUUCAGUGUUCUGAAAAGUUUUUUGUUUCUGUUCGUUUGGGGUUUUGCCAUACAUAAAUGUAACAGUAAUGCUCUGGUUCCCUAAAAACCUCUUUCAUGCAGGAGAAAUAAGUAAUUUGCUAGGGUUGUCUUUUUUUUUUGUCUUUUUUUGGUCUUUUUUUUCCCCCUUGAGUAAUAGUAAUUUGCAUCUGUGUAAAGCAGAAAAAAUGUCAGAGCAAUGAGAUUAUUCUGACAAGUGCCUGAUAGAAGCAAGAGGAGAAUGGGAACUGACUGGCUGAUGGAACCAGACAUUACCUCUCAGCUCGAGACUCAGCUUGAUGCAGGUUGGGACUAAGCCUGCCAGCUGUCUGCUGGAUGUUUCUGUCAUUUCCAUGGCUGCAGUAAGAGCUGUAAAAUGGUCAAAUACAUCAAAUUUCUCACAGUGUCCACAAAGACUACUGAAGCUCACAGCUCUUGAAAAGGCUUUCAAGGACCCUGGAAGCCCUGAAGAUACUUGAAUGGAGCUAGGCUUUUAGACUGAACUGCAGAAAACCUCAGUUGCUGCAAAACCCACUGAAACCUAAAGUGCCUUUUUUGCUGACUGCUCCAGACUCUCAGAUCCUGGGAGCCUGUCUCAUGGCUUCAAGCCACAGCUAAACAGCAUUAUCCACCUGGAUGUUUUAACAAAGCUGGCUCUUCAGAAAGUCACAAGUCCUAGGAAGGCUGUCAUAUUCAGUCUGGAGGUUUCAUCCUUACAACAGUAUGUUUUGGGCAAAAUUUCUGCAGCUCAAUGAGUACUAAAAACUAUUCGAACACCAGGCCCAAAGUUUCAUGGUAAAACUGGACUGCAGCUUAUUAAGUUGCAUCCACCUUUAUAAUGUUGCCUGAUGUAUUUUGUUAUGUUUUCACACCACUUAUUCCAAUGGAAAAAAGAAGAGUUGGAAUAAAUACAAUGUGGGAUGAAAAGAUUGUAAACACCAAGUUGACCCAUCCCUCUUCAGCUACCUUUGUGAUUUAUGCUUAGGGCUAAUUAGUUCUAAAAAUUCCCAUAUUUUUACAUGCAGGAUUUUUUGGAAUUGCCUUUUCCUGUAGACACUGGAGUGGGAUGACUGCUCAAAUUACACAGCGUGGAGCUGGCCAACAGGUCACUGCUUUGCACAACUGACCUCCAACAGAAAGGAAACCAGCUGAAAUUUGAAUAAUGCUUCUUGGAGUAUAAGAAGUCAUUGAAACUUAAGAAACUGAAGGUCAAAAUCCAAAUGCCAUCACCCGUACUUCCAAACACCAAGAAAUGGGGAAUCCAGGCUUACCUGUGAUGUUUCACAAUGACUCAAAUCAACUUUACUGCUUCCAAAGCCUCUUUCAUGCCACUGCAGAGCGUCUGCACCUUUGGGGAGAGUCUUGUUAAGGGGACAGCUGAUGAAUAUGAAUGGAAAGACAGCAGACACAAACCAGCACUCAGGUAAGGCUGGUGUUGUUUUGCUACCCAUUAAAUGAGGAGAAAAUCUUCACAUUUCUAGGUGGUGCAGCAACAGUGCUGGAACUUGCAGAUUUGAAGCACUCAAAACUGACCUUUACAGUGGAUAUUUGGUGAAUUUCCAUGAAUGUUAAAACUCUUUUCUGAACCUCCAGAAUCCUGAAGAUUUUCCAUUGAGCAUGUGACUGUGUUUCUGUCUGUUGGAUUUAUUUUAAGAACAUGGCAGUCGAGGGGAUUGCGUAAAGUGAAGAAGCCAAGACAAGCAAGGAACAAAUCACAGCAGGCUGGAGGAGUGUCUGAGAAAAAGUUUAAACCACAAAGUGGCAGCAUUAAUGCAUCAAGAGUGGAAAGGAACCUGAGACAAAUACCUUGGAUGGUGGGAGGUGUCUGGGAGCCCUUGUGAAUGAUGGUAGACAGCAUAAGGUGUGUGGGUGCCCACUGUGAUGUUUCCCCCCAGCAGCACACGAACCAUACCCAGUCUCAAAGUCAUAUUUCCUCUUAGUUAUAGUUCAUUUCUAUCCUUCACACCCUCCUGAAAUUAUACAUUUGAAAUGGAUCCUGGUCUGUUCUAAGCAUUUAAUUCCUGGAAAGAUAUCAACACACUAGAGGGACUUUUAAGAGUGAGAAAGUGAAAGAAAAUAUUCACAAUAGGUAACAAUGGUAAUUGUAAUAACAGUGGUUACUGCCCAUUGCCCUGCAGCAAUUUCAAUGUGUUCUUACCAGACAGCCUCACAGGAUCUAUUUUUAGGGGGACAUUCUUUAUUGUGUAACAACAUGUUUGUGUAUUUAGCAAGACAUAGAAAGGAGAAAAAGGAAUGGCUGUAGGGCCUGAUGCUACAGCUUAGGAAAGGGAGAGACAAGAGGAGGAGAUAAAGUGUUUGAAAUGUUUGCGUUCAAGAAUUAUCAAAAAGAAAAAAUGUGGAAGAAAUAACAAUAAUAUUAAUAUUAUUAAUAAUGAUAGCUAUGAAAUCCCCUCCAUUUUGAAUGUGGAAAUGGUGAAUGAAGAAUUAUGGCAAGAUUAAUGAAGGUCAUCUGGGUAAAAUAAACCCUGAACUCUACUUCUGCAACAGCAGAAUUUUCAAGUUUUGCUCUCUCACUCAUAUAUCCUUCAGGAUAAAAAAAAUCUGACAGACAUUUAUCCUGGCAUCACUGAGAUCACAUUUUGAGGACAAUGGUAGAAUUGAAAAGGAGAUUAGAUCACAGUUUGGCUAACACAACCUCUGUUGUCACUGGUGUUGUGUCAGAAAGAAAGGCCCACUGUCAGAAACCAAAGUGGCUCUGAGUGAGUGGCUGUGAGGGUAAACUUGUUUUCCAUUUGUAUAAUGAGAAAAUCAAACCUGACAGUGAGAGAAGCAUAAUAACUAUAGGAGAGCAAAUCAAAACCCCUCAUACUUUGUAGAUUCACUGUUCACUAAAAUCCUGCUAGUAAGAUUUAUAAUUGCUCAAGGCUUUGUUGUUUAGACACUAAGAAGUCAUCCACUAACUCAUGUUUCAAUUUCAGGAAAAUCAAACAGAAACCAAGAAAUCUUCAUAAACUAAGGAGCACCUAAUCUCAGAACAUUAAUUCACAGCAAGAUACUUUGAUUUGAGCAUUCACAUAUUGAACUGAUCACAAAGCUCUGAAGAUAUCUGAUAAUAUGAGCAGAUUCACAUAGUUAUCUUUGUGUUGUUUGUCCAUAAAGGGUUAUUGUUAUAGAUGAGUGUGUACUAUAUUGUAAACCAUUAUCAGCUAACAGAGAUUUAGGGGGAAAUAAUAGAUUUUGAUGGAUUAAUUAUUACUUCAGGUGAUGUAACUAAUAUAGAAAUAUAGCAAGAAAUUGACUCUAUGCUCCUGAAUCCAUAUCUAAAAUUGUCACUACUUCACUGAAAACACUUAAGUUGUACUUGCAACCACUGAAAGCAGCAGACACUAUGUUUGCUCUAUUUUCAAACUACGCUUUUACCAGCAGCUGGUUUCUAAGCCUUUCCCUUAGUUCAAAUCUUGAGAUGAAGUUCUAUCAGUGCCUAUCAAAACAGGAAUGACAUUUCUGGGCAAAACUUAUUAAAGCAGUCAUUUAGCACUGUCAUCAUAUAUUAGAGAGUGAACUUUAAUUUGUCAGGUAGCAAACCUGCUUAGAAACACAACAACACAACACACUGGGUAUGAAAAUCACUUUAAUAUAACUGAUGCAGCUAAACUCAUGAGUAUACAUUGUGUUAGCAGUGUGUGCUUUGUGCCUCUAUGGAGUUUUGACUCCUCAAAAGAUGCAGCCUGUGUCUUGGCAGGGUGUGUGUAUCAAUGUGUGGAACACUUGGAUGUGGAAAACAAUCAGUUGUGACAAUCAGCCAGUCAGCAAUCUUGAACACCUUCCAUCUCUGCUCCAUUUAUGGGCAUCAGUAAAUAAAGCUCUGUUCUUAAA